CCGGCGGGCGGCGGCGGCCCGGGCGGGGGUCCUCCUGUGCUGUAGUCCGACAUGGCGCGGCGGGGCCGGGCCUGGCGCGGAGGCUGAAGCUGAGGAGGAGGCGGCGGCGGCGGCGGCUCAACGCGGGAACAAGGCCUCGCUCCACACGGCCGCGGAGCACUCUGGGAACCCAGCGGCUGGGAAGACGACGAGGGGGGAGAGGGACGCCCCCUCCCGCCGCCGGCGUGACGGACGGCGCAGCCAGGCCAAUGGGAGGCGGCCGCCGCUCCUGGGACACCAAUCGCGGGCUCCGGAGGCGAGCGGCCAAUCGGAGUGCCGCGAGAGGCAGUGGGCGGGAGGCGCCGCGUGACCGACAGCUCUCGUAGGCAGUGGGCUGCCGGCUGCCGGUCCUGGGCGGGCAAAUCGAGGAGACCCGAAAGGGCAGGAGGCCCAAUGAAGCGGGAGUUCCAGAACUACGGGGCGACUUCAGAGCCGGAUUGACGGCUCCAGAGAGUCAAGUGGACGGGAAGGAGGGGACUGACGAAAGGCCCCUUUCAACAGGCUGGGCGGGCGCCAGCUGAAGAAGCUGAAGCUCAAAAGUGCACAGAGCUGAGUUUCAAACCCAGAGCCAUCCGACCCCUUGGCCCGUGUAUGAUCUUGAGCCAGGGUUCAGAAGCUCAAGUGCUGACGGAGGUCGGGAGGCUAACGGAAGCGAUGUGGACUGAGUGGAGGCUGUGGCCGCUUACCCCUAGCGGCAGCCAGACAUCAUGCCAUGGCAAUGCAGAGCCCAGGUGGCCAGAUUUGCCAGUUUUCCAAGAGGAGCCAGACGUUGGGAUUUGUAUGAAAUGCCCCGACAUCAAAAUACUGGCCACUCCACAAUUGCACACCAAGUGCAGUAGGCAGGAUUCUAAGGUGGUCCUCAUGAGGUUCCCACCCCCUGAUGUGUAUGCCCCCCCUGCCCCCCCCCCGCCCUUGAUAAUGUGCUAGACUUGUAAAUAGGAUUGGGUAUCACUCCCCUUGACAAGUUACAUGACAUGAUGAAAGUGAAGGGAUUUUGCAGAUGUAAUGGAGGUCCUUAAGCAGUUGGCUUUAAGUGAAACGACACAAAUGGUGCUGGGUGGGCCUGACCAAAUCAGGUGAGCCUUUUAAAAGAGUCUGCUGCCAGAGACAGAAGAAAUCAGAGAGAUUUGGGAGCAUCCCAGACACUCUUCAGUUCGUCUUAAACAAGCGGGCUGUUGUGGAGAGGACCACAUGGCAGGGAACAGCGGGUGGCCUCUAGGAGCUGAGGACCUCAGUCCUACAACCAUAAGAAACUGAAUCCUGCCGGGGUGCUGGGUA